GCACUUUCAGCGGGGAGGAAGGCGAUAAGGUUAAUAACCUUGUUGAUUGACGUUACCCGCAGAAGAAGCACCGGCUAACUCCGUGCCAGCAGCCGCGGUAAUACGGAGGGUGCAAGCGUUAAUCGGAAUUACUGGGCGUAAAGCGCACGCAGGCGGUCUGUCAAGUCGGAUGUGAAAUCCCCGGGCUCAACCUGGGAACUGCAUUCGAAACUGGCAGGCUAGAGUCUUGUAGAGGGGGGUAGAAUUCCAGGUGUAGCGGUGAAAUGCGUA
rnacentral:rRNA from 1 species